ensembl:snRNA U2 U2 spliceosomal RNA
CUCUAAUCUCUGAUCUUUGUCUAAGGUCAAGUUUAACAUCUGUUCAUAACAAUUAAAUAUCUUUUACAUCCUUGGCUUGAAGAUGUCAUAUUAAGCAGACUUUUGGGCCAAAGGAUGGGUUAAAACUUUUUCUGUCUGUCCAAUGCACCUGCCUGUUACUGCAGUGUCUCUAAAAGCAGCACACCAA